CAAAUAAUGUUAUCCAAAACAACCGUACGACCGCCCGAAGCAGAGCUCCAAACAUAAAGGUCAAAUUUUGCCAUGUCGUACUAGGCUUCCUCGAAGAAUAACCAGACAACAAAUUCUGCUAUCGUUCAGAGAGAGAGAGGUAAAUUUGAAGGGGGCGAUAAUGGGUGGACAAGCACAUGUCUUGAAGAGAAUUCCACGCAUUAGAUUCCCGCAAGGACACCCUAAAUCCAUUGCUUCAGAUUUCCAUAAUUUUCCAUGCACAGAUUCUACAUCUCAAGCUCAAAGUAGGGAUGCUCAUAACAUUACCAUUUCAAAGUCAGAUGUUCCAGCAGCACCCACAAACACUGCUGUGGGAGGGAAAGCUUCUCUUCAGCCAAAACGAACACCAGUCUCGGACAAAGAGAUAGAGGCUAUUCUGUUGGGUGGAUGCUUCUGAUCUAACCAAGAAAUAGUACCAUGGAGUUGCAAUCGAUCUAGACUUUUGGAUCUUCUGUAUAUCAUUUGGCAUAAUAAUGCAAUUAAAAUACUCUGUUAUGGUAAUUAUGUAACAGAUAGAAAUUCGUAUUGAAUUUCACACAUGGAAUUCUAGUAAUUGGACUUAGGGUAUUCAUUUAAUUUUUAUUUAAACACGAGUUGAGUUUCAAA